GAUCCUGGCUUAGGAUGAACGCUAGCUACAGGCUUAACACAUGCAAGUCGAGGGGCAUCAGGAAGAAAGCUUGCUUUCUUUGCUGGCGACCGGCGCACGGGUGAGUAACACGUAUCCAACCUGCCGAUGACUCGGGGAUAGCCUUUCGAAAGAAAGAUUAAUACCCGAUGGCAUAUCUGAAAGGCAUCUUUCAGCUAUUAAAGAAUUUCGGUCAUUGAUGGGGAUGCGUUCCAUUAGGUUG
rnacentral:rRNA from 1 species